ACUUGAAAUUUCUUCGUCCUUUCUCUUUCUAAUCCAUAGAGGAAGCAAACCCUUGAUUUUCCUCGUUUUAAACACGUUUGGUAGCCCAAAUAUCCUUCCAAAAUUGAUGCGAAAUAUGAAUCCGAGAAGAAGGAUUAAGCUCCUUCAACAUAGAGUUGGAUUUUGCCAUAUUAUCACCUUUAAAGCUACAAGUUUGAGCUUCUAGAAAACUGAACUAUCGAUUAAUCUUCAAGGAUCUCGGUAAACGACCAUUAAUCCAAGAGUAGGACAUGGAUGGACGGUCCGACAUGAUGGCGCAUGUGGUACAAGGGUGAUGGGUCGAGCCGUUAAAUGUUUCCACACAAACUAUUUCUGAAAGUUUAUUUUGAGAUUAUGUUUAUUAUUUUGGGAUUGUAAUAUUUAAGUGGGUUUGCUAAGUAGUUAAAGAUACAACGAAACCGACAUGAACCUAUCUAAUUAAGUAUUCGGUAAUUAUC